UACGGAGGGUGCAAGCGUUAUCCGGAUUCACUGGGUUUAAAGGGUGCGUAGGUGGGUUUGUAAGUCAGUGGUGAAAUCUCCAAGCUUAACUUGGAAACUGCCGUUGAUACUAUAAAUCUUGAAUGUUGUGGAGGUGAGCGGAAUAUGUCAUGUAGCGGUGAAAUGCUUAGAUAUGACAUAGAACACCGAUUGCGAAGGCAGCUUACUACACGAUCAUUGACACUGAGGCACGAAAGCGUGGGGAGCAAACAGG
rnacentral:rRNA from 1 species